UUCCUCUGUCUUGGUAAAGUUUUACGUUUACCUAACGUGCUCUCAUUACUUUCGUUUGUUCCAAGCAGGGGACAGGCCUGCCGAGAGCGCGGCGCUGCGCUGGCACGGCGUCCGUUCUCCUCCGAGUUCUGCCUAGACCGCCACCCCACACUGCUCAUGGUCUCAGUGGCUGCAGUGGACUUAACCAUGCGGUGAACACUGACUGUAGAGGAAUCAGUGAGCUGGAGGACAUAGCUUUGAACUUCACCCAGGAAGAAUGGACCCUGCUGAACACAUCCCAGAGACAGCUGUACAAAGAUGUGAUGCUGGGGAACAUUAGACAUCUGGUCUCUCAAGAUGCUGCCAGCAUUGUGGGUGUUGUUUUUCUGCUGUCAGCUGCCUUCACCACAGCAGCUCUAGCCACAGGCAUCCAGGGGUGUCCUUCAGUGUGGCAGAUGGAAGAGGUUCAGGUGGGGAUAUUUUUGCAGGGAAUACUCGUUUGCAAAGACAAGUAACUUGAAUACGUAGAAGAGGAAAAAAUGAAAUUUUAACAUUCUGUUAUUCCUAGAAAGAUAAAAUAUUUCUCCUGUGAGUUGGAAAUCUUGAUUCCUCCUAAUUCUUCAUAGCAUAGUUCUCAAACUUUGCGCACUUAAUCUUUGUGUGUCUGUGGCAUAAAUUAAGGGCGAAGCCAACUCCAGUCUACCCGUGUAAAAGAAGUGUGUAAGUCAGAGAUCUAGCAGUCAGGUCCUGCCUUUUUUCCUCCUGUCAAAAUUAGCUUGAACUGCCUAUUUGGACGUUACAGGCAUGGGCCAUCCCAAUCCACAAAAGGGUUAGGAGAAAAAAUGAUUAUGCAUGGCUAAGAGAGAACUAGCUAAUAGAAAGCAAGGCCUGGAAUUUCCUUCAUCAGAAUUAUCUGAAUCAGGUCAGAGUGAGGCUGGAGAAAUGUGACACUGAAAAGAGGAACCCCAAGUCCUCUCCACCCAAAGGUCACAUGACCCUCCAUGCACUACAGUGUUGUGGGUGACCAUGCUGAUGGAGAAGACGACAGGCGUUACCUUCCAGAAGCUAAGGAACGGAAAAGGAAUAGUGAGCAGGAGAAAGAACACGGCAACUCUGGCCUAGCACCAGCUGGCCCCACAUGUGCCCCAGGGAUGACACUACAAGGACUUGCAGUCCCACUUUCCAGGGGACAGGGAGAUAUUUUGGGCAUCCAGGAGCAGCUGUGAGCUUGUGUGUAUUUUGGGAAACCCUCUGUCAUCUUCUUCAGUAAACCAAACAACCUUUGUGGCUAGAGAAAUUUUCUUCAGUGUUUUAUAACAACAACAAUGAUAAUGGUAAUAACCACAAUAAAGAUGAUUAACAACAGUA